rnacentral:rRNA from 1 species
GACAGUGUCUGGUGGGUAGUUUGACUGGGGCGGUCUCCUCCUAAAGAGUAACGGAGGAGCACGAAGGUUGGCUAAUCCUGGUCGGACAUCAGGAGGUUAGUGCAAUGGCAUAAGCCAGCUUGACUGCGAGCGUGACGGCGCGAGCAGGUGCGAAAGCAGGUCAUAGUGAUCCGGUGGUUCUGAAUGGAAGGGCCAUCGCUCAACGGAUAAAAGGUACUCCGGGGAUAACAGGCUGAUACCGCCCAAGAGUUCAUAUCGACGGCGGUGUUUGGCACCUCGAUGUCGGCUCAUCACAUCCUGGGGCUGAAGUAGGUCCCAAGGGUAUGGCUGUUCGCCAUUUAAAGUGGUACGCGAGCUGGGUUUAGAACGUCGUGAGACAGUUCGGUCCCUAUCUGCCGUGGGCGCUGGAGAACUGAGGGGGGCUGCUCCUAGUACGAGAGGACCGGAGUGGACGCAUCACUGGUGUUCGGGUUGUCAUGCCAAUGGCACUGCCCGGUAGCUAAAUGCGGAAGAGAUAAGUGCUGAAAGCAUCUAAGCACGAAACUUGCCCCGAGAUGAGUUCUCCCUGACUCCUUGAGAGUCCUGAAGGAACGUUGAAGACGACGACGUUGAUAGGCCGGGUGUGUAAGCGCAGCGAUGCGUUGAGCUAACCGGUACUAAUGAACCGUGAGGCUUAACCUUACAACGCCGAAG